rnacentral:lncRNA from 1 species
CUGAAGCAGUCCGUUCCACUAAUCUUGUCUAAUAAAUCAUGCAACAGGUCAGGAAUUGUAAACCAAGUAUCAUGCCAUUCUCCUCCUUGCUGAAGAAAUGAGCAUGACAUUAACUCCUGAAAAUAACUCUCAGCUAUAUCUUCCAUGUCCUCCGUUGCACAACUGGUCUUUAUAAACCCUUGUGCUACCCACAAGCGAACUAACACAUCCCUUCUUAACUUGGAUCUCUUGGGGAAAAUACUGCAAUAUUUGAAGCUGAUAAUAACAUGGAAUUAGCCCUUUGGAUGAAUAAUAUAGUGAUCUUUGUCUAUGGACCAUAAAUUUAUAAUUUAUUUAGAAUGCUUGCAUGGCAUGAGUAUGUAAAAUAUGGGUGCAACCAAAUGUUCCCAAGAGUCCAAAAACGAAUACGUUUUACAUAGAUACAAAUUUGUGCUCAUUUCGUGGGUACAUACUUUCACGACAAUAUGAACUAUUUUGAACUGACAAGAAAAAAAAACUAUGUUUAAAAAAAAGAACUUUCAUGAAACAUUUCUAUCUUACAGAAUAUUUAUGUUGUAAAUAUACACAUGAUCAAUAGACGACCCAAAUAAAAAAACUCAUAGGAGGUUGAUAAUCUAUCACCGACCCCAGCCAUAUAUAUGCACCGAAGGUAUGUCGUUUUGGGCCACUGGAUGGGAAAAUGUACCGCAAGAUUCAUGAAUAAGUUGGGAUAUAUCAUAUUUGUAGGAAUAACCUUGUAUUGUACGAAAAUAUACCUGCACUUUAGCCCUUUGGGUUCCUGGUUUCUGCUAUUGUUGCACAAUAAUCGUUUAAUUCUUAUAAAUAUUCACCCAUAGUCCAUUUAAGAAAAUUAACCCAAGAUUUUAUCUCGUCUAAAAUUUAAUAAAACUUAAAUGAGUUUCACCAUCAAGUUUCAUAUCCAAAUCUCGAUGAAACUGAAUUUCACAAAAACAAAACUAGUUAAAUUUGAUGAAUCUUAGUUUUAUAUAUCAACCGUAGUUUAGAAAAAUCGCCACAAACUGUGGUGCAAGUUGAUUUUAAUUAAAUACAAGUUUUUUUAUAAAUAUGUGAGUUGUCAAUUGAUCAUGUCCAUCACUUCAUCAUCCAAUGGUUGCUGAUGUAUGUGUGCAUCCGAUAAACAAAUUCACUUGGUGAACUAGAUACGUUGUCACAAAGAGGAAAGUAGGACAUCUUAAAAAUGCUCAAAACAUAAAUACAUUAACAUUAUAUUGUUUCAAAUGUCUCAACACGAUAAACAGAUAGGUUCAAAUUAGUCGUGUAUGCAACAUUGCUAAUUUUUAUUAUUAGCUAUUGAGGUUUCUGAGCUCGUUCUUUAGGAUGACGUCUAAUUCUUAAAGGAGGCAGUAAUGAUGUAUUCAAUAAGUUUGUAAAUAGAUAUUUUCACAUAAAUACGUUGGUAGAAAACUAUUAUUUAUUUUACUAUUAAUAAAUCAUGGUGAAUGUAACAACAUUAUUUUAUUCUAGUGCUUCUAUUUCUUUUGCCUAAUUUUGUUUUCAAAGUCUUAGCGAUCAUGAGGGGAUUAGAGCUUGUCUCUCCUAGCGCAUUAGGCGUAUCAUGGUACCGCUCAUUUGUAGCAUUUUUGGCAUGUUCAAAUAACCAAUUAAGUAUAUUUCACUUCAACUACUGGAUUGUAGCAAUAAAAGAGCAAAUGGAGAUGCAUGCAUGUACACAGAGUCUCAAGAUUAAGUUGUGUGGGAGGUAUGUCUUCAACGCGAGUGAUUUACCUGCUGUGAAGUAAUCAUGCUAUUUUCAAUAUAUCGAUUUAUAGUUUCUCUUCCAUCAAGGGCACUGAUAAUAUGUUGUGUAUCUGGUCUCCUUGCCGGGUUGAUCUCCAUGCACUUCAUUGCAAUCUCAACACAUACUCGUACCUGUUCCAGUUGUACAUCCUGCUGCGGUUUCUCCAAUAUGGCACUCCAACUUUCAACUACCUAUGAAUUAUAAUAGUGUAUUAUGAAAACAAGAGACAUAUUUUGCAACACAAAGUUAAUGUAUGUAGUAGUACAUAUACGAGGCCCAUAAGUUACGUUACCAGCUGAUACAAAACCCCAUAAGGUAACACUUCAAACUACCAAGCAAAAAUUCCCCAAGAACUUCUUUUUUUUGCGGGAAAAAUUCCCCAAGAACUUUUCUUCUUUUCUCAAAUUCCCCAAGAACUUAAUUAAGGUGCGCUCUGGUUUCUUCUCACAUGGUAUCAACUGAAUUAAUAAAAAAUAUGCAUCCCAUGAAAUCUGCCAUGUCAUGUGAGGGUAAUGGGAUUGCAAGGACAUAAUUUGCAUCAACCAGCCUUAACGUUUGUCUAACAAACUCUUCAUCCCAUUGUCCUGUAGAUCGAUCAGUAAUGUCACAAGCUUAUGAAAAAGUUGUUAACCCCUUGGAGUAAUCAACUUUCUGCUAUUACAAUUAGGUAUCCAUGCAUCAUCCCAACUGCUAUUUUUUACCAUCGCCCACUCUCCAAAUAUAUCCUCGAGCCUCACAAAGAGAUGUACUUUCUCUGUCCUUUCGGCUUAUACCAUGCGAAAUGGGAUCAUCGAUUGGUAGGAGAGGCGAUGGAACGGGAGAGAAGCAAAGUCGAUCAAUAAUAUAUGUGGUACAAUUUGGCAAAAUGAUGUGCCUAGCUAAGGUAAAAAAGGCAUAUGUCAUGCUCUGCAUGGAAAUCUUCCAUGUUAUGUUACUCUAGCAAACCAGCAGAUUAAGGUUCUUCGACAAUGUAUGGCAUGUAAUCAAGGAGCAUCAUAGGCUUGUCCGUUAGUAGAAGACUCAGACGAUAACGUAGAUAGCUAUGUUUGUAGAUGCGCUAACAUCAAAGUAUGAUGUAGCUAUUAUCCCCAAAGGCUCAAGUGAUUAAAGGUGGAUGGUUGUGGCCCCCUCAUGGCAUGAUUAAUCUUAAUGUUGACGAUGCUUUCGAUAAGGACAUGCUACACUGAGCAGCAGGUGUAGUUUUGAGAGAUUCCAGGGAAGCUUUCAUUGUGGUGGAAACCUAAAGAUUGACAUGUGUGGUGAUGCACUAAAAACAGAGACAAUGACGUUGCGCUUUGGAUUAGAACUUAAACAGACAAUAGGUUGCAACAAAAUAGUCACAAUCCCCUACAAUUCUAAGGUAAUUGAGACCAUGAUCAAUGGCAGAAGAACCUCUGGUCCUGUAGGGCAUAAAUUUAUACCAUUGUUUCCAUGUCUUAUACGAAUUUCCACGAACACUGGGUGAACAUUGUAAUAGAGAAGCCAAUUAUGUGUCACAUGUAUAAGCUAAGAUGGCGAUAUCGUCAGUGUGAAGAACCCUUCUUUGAUCAAUGAUGUAGCAGUUAUCACUAUCUAACGAAUACAGAUGCAAGGUAAAAAAAAUAUGCAUCAAAAUUCAGGUUAUAGAUAACUUGGGCUUCGGUGAUGAAAUUGUACAACCACUCUCCCACAGAAAUAAGCUAAGCAUUAUUGUUCUCACAUCUGCAGAUAUGCAAAUUGACACUUUCUCCUUCACAAAACGAAUUUGUAUAGAAGGUAUUUUUUCUAAAAAAAUAGUACUCAUCGAACUAUAUUUUUUGUUGCCUUUUAUUCCUGUUUUAAAUAUAUUUUCAUCACCAAGUAUCAAUAGUCCCUCCGUAAGGAGCAUGCUCAUUUUUAUUUUAUUUGUAAAUCAUGGUGUUAGACCAAUGCAUAAAAGUUGAACAUCAAUGUUUGAAAGUGCAUAUUCGCACCUAAGUAUGUUUUAUUUUGAUGACGACAAACUAAAGGGACUAAUAAGAUCGCUAUGUGUAUGAGCAGGUUUUACUCCCGUGAGCGAAUGGUGUUGAGGAUCGAUGACCGCUUAAAACUAAAGGGCUCAAGGAGAAAUUUCCGGCAAGCACGUCCACCACUUACUGGGGCUCGACUGCUUGCUUGCAUAGGGGAUGGGCAGAAGAAGGUAGAGUGUUCCUAAAGCCAUGUCGUCAUCCUUGACCAGGAAAGGGAGGGCGAUGGUGGCUUUUCGAGGACGGGUGUGAGCACGGGAAUGAGGACGGUGUGGCCUGCUGAUCUUGGUCCAGUGGUAGGGCAUCACGCGCGAGGGGGAGGAUCCAACGGUAAUGACUGGCAUCAGGAAUGGAGGUUUGAGGAAGAGGAGGAAGGUAGUGGGGGCGGAUCAUAAUUUUAGGGGUGAGAACUGGGUCAAUAUAGACAUGUGGAGAGUUGAUGGGCGUGGGAGGUUUUCUUUCUUUUGUGGUUUGGUUCUGUUCCAUGGUGUGGCUCGAUUCGGGGUUGUGUAGCAAUGGUAAUGAUGUACUAUAUGAUAAUGAAAUGCUGUAUUUAAUAAGGUUCUAGGCGUCCUUUGGUUUGUAGGAAUUAUACAAGAUAGGAUUUUCAAGAAAAAUAAUAAUUCUUUGUGGGUAGUUGGUAUGUCGAAAUGGAUUCCUAUUCCUAUGUAGGAUAGGAAUCAAUUCUUCACAUUUCAAAUGAAAAAAAUAGCUUAGACAUGGGCGCAACUUCCAUAAGCAGACGUCGGACACACAUCUCUACUCUUCCCGGCAAGCACCACCUGGUAAAGCCCUACAGUGCGUCGGCCAUGGAGGGCCCUCGCCUACCCGCUGGCAUGGUGGGUUGUUCGAGGAAGCGUCCUAGGUGGUCAAGCUGAUCGUCGUGGCACGACUGGGAUCUGGUCGAUAUGCAUAUGCCACGGGUGGAUCUGACGGCGUUGGCUGGUGUGCCAGGCUAGCGCGGGCAUGGUGUGGGCGCGCUCCUUGGGGGGCAGGCUCUCCCUCACGUGUUGCCCUUGCUGACUCUCUAGACUUUGCCGUGGUAACAGGUCCUUUGGCUGUGUCCUGCACGGGCGGCGGAGUUUGGGAACUAAGGGCAGCGGCCUAUGAGGUUCUAGCUGGCGGUGACUGUCUGCGAUCAUGUGCAUGGCGCGACGGUUAGAUCUGUUUGUAGGUGGUCACAACUUUGGCGUCGUCCAUGGCUGACUCGAUGUGGUUUCCUGAUUCAUACCUGGAUAAAUUUGUGAUGGUGAUCCAGAUUCGCUCGACGAAGUAGGGUGACUGUAGAGUGUGUUGCGUCCACCAUAUGUGGUCCGUGAUGGCAGUGGUCACAGAGAGAUUUUUGGGAGGGUUCAUCUCUGUAGGUUCAAUAGUUGACUACAACAGUAAGUUGCAAACUAUGGAUGGCAGCUUGACGCGGAGGGCUGGUCGGGCAGUUGCGACGGUUACAUUGCAUGUAGCUGCGCAGGUCAUGGAGAAGUGGUGGCGACAACAGUUGAGUGACUUUGAUGGUGGUGUUCUCGAGCACCUGGUCGCGAGCUCCAUGGUAAAAUCCUAGGUCUGACCCGAGCUAGUAUUACGUGGCAAUGACGAUGGUUUAUUUAUGUCAUUGCUUUGUUGAAGGCAUUGCUCGAAUAUGCUUGGAUUGAUACUUCAGGGUGAAAACUUAGAUUCUGGCCUUGGUGGUUGGAUCUAUUAGCGGCGAGGACGCUUAAGUGUCACUCACUUCUUGAAGGUGUUGUUGUUGAAGAAUCUCGUCAUCUGUGUUGUGUCAUGAGGUAGUUGGUGCAGAUAUGGUCAUUGAUUUAGUUUGCCGAUCGUAGAUCUGAUCACUUUGUGGUUUUCUUUUUUCCUCGCCUAUGCAUAGCUUUGGUCUUGUAUGACUUUGCUAUUUCCUGACGUGUUUUUUGUGCAUUUGUUGGCGUUGGUUGUGCGCAUCCUAGCUAUGCAGAGGUCGGGUGUGCGCUCUUUGAUUUUGUAUUCUCUUGAUGCUUCUUUUUGAGCUAAUAAAAUCCACCCUUUGUCGAAAAAGGAUUUGAAAUACAUGUUAUCUCACUUCCUAUUAUCUUUCUUUUCCUAUAAAAUUCCUAUCCUAUGAACGAAUGUGUCCUUAAGGGGCGCUUGUACAAUAGAUGAACAAGUCAUUUGUAACUUCUUAUCGAUCUAUACAAAUAUGGAGGUCGUAGGGCUUUUAUCCAUCCGAGUUACUAACGCGGGGUAAAACAAUUGAGUCACCAUCAUACUCGACGAUCCCGUCGGGCACCAUCCCCCCUUUACAUUCUUCUAUGAUUUCACCAAGAUCGAUGAGCAUUAUUCGUCGUCAUUUGGUUCCGAGCAUGGGGCCCAAAUGGAACUCGCUCACUACAAUGCCAUGAACUCUGUCCAUUAUGACAUCCUGGCUUAAUAGGAAUGAUAGAAUACCACAUCAAUGAAGUGCAAGACACGAAGUUGGUCUCCAAAGAACCUCCAUGUUAAGUGUGCUUGUCUUCCGACCAAACUUGUUGUCAGGUGCGCCACGAGUGAGGUCAAAGUGUGCAGCAUAGAAAAGUGUUGGUCUAUGGGGCCAGUCUAUGUCCCAGGUGGUAUCCUGACAUAAUGGACAUUAACUGGUGGUUGUGUUGGGUGUUAUACCCACCUUCAUCUUCCUAGAGCUGGGUUUCCAUGUUGGACUAGGGGAAGGGUGGAAACGCCAAGAUCGUUUCUCACUCACACAAACCAUAUUCCCGGGUGGGCUUUGUGGUUAAAAUAUCAAAUUCAGGAGGAAGAGAAGGGGCACAAAGAAAAGAUGGUCAAGGUAAUCCCUGCCAGUCGAUGUUGAGGUGUUCGAUUACAAAUCACCGCCCACAACAUAAACUUUGGAGCCGCAGGAGGACGAAGCCCAGCUAGAGCAAGAUAGUUGAGAGGCCACCGAGGUACCCAUACUGCAUACUAUGUUCGUAUGAGACUAGGUGCUACAUGAUUGGACCCUUCCUUCCCUAGGCGAGGAUCAAAAAUCAUGGCCAUUCAUCCAUGCGUUACCGACUCAGAUAGGAAUAAAUUAUCAGAUGUGCUUACCUCUCACACAAGAUACCAUUUCCAUCAACCCAAAGUCCAAUGCCAAAAUGGGAAGUAAAAAUCUAGGUCAAUAUGCAAUUUCAGUGUUGGCCGGAGCAUCAUGGCAAGAAACUUUGGCCUUUAGGGUAGUUGUUUUCACAUGAAUCAUCUAGAGUUUUCACUGGCCAUCUUGGGUCAAAAUCAAAUGCAGACCCUUCGACUCUUUCUCUGGUGCUCUCUGGUUCCAUCGGGAGUGCCUGGUCAAAUGAGUUGGAGGAUCCUGUGUCCCUUGUCCCUGGCUAGUGUCUGGGUUGCGGCGUGAUGCUAGAGGCAAACACUCUCGCCUUCUCUCUAUCUUUUCUCGGGGGAUCUGGAGUCUUCGAGUAAUUCAAGAAGGAGCCUUCUGGCCUAACUCUCAGACCCAAUGCUACCUUGGUUGACUGGGUUUGAAUCAUCCGUAGGUGCCAACUCGGAGCCUGUGCAUGUGUAAUUUCUGUACAAAACAACUAGUCUUAUACCCGACUACUUAUACGCCACAAUAACCCUUCGGGGUAGGUUGACCACUCCAUUCCAUACAUUUUAGAUCCAUUGUUGAACUCCCUACCCUCUCAACUCUAAUUUUUGGAUUCCUUGAGAUAUUUGUGAUGGAUUUGAGAGGAGUUAACACUAAAAUAGAUAUGCGCCCUUCCUCUCUCACUAACCAUUUUCUUGAUUUGCACAAAUUCCAAGAUUAUUACUUUGAUCUAGUUCCUCUUGUAGGUUGGAUAGUCCUAGGCGGUAGGAAUCAUCUGUGAGGAAUCAAUUUGUGAUUUACCCUGAUGCUUGUAAAGUAUUGAGGCCACCUAAAGGUCUACCACAAAUGAUUUGGCAUCGUUGUUGUGGUGGUGGCUCAAAGAUAGUAAGGUGCUAUCGAGUUUUCUUGAAUUUAAUGGAAAAUAGAAAGACUUGAUGAUGAUCAAUCUUUCUGUUAAGGUGGAUCUCAGCCAAUCAAUUUUUACUAUAUACGUACAAUAUUACAAUGGUUAAACUAAUUAUUAGAAAUGCAAGACAACCAAUAUGAAAUGCUAGAAAAAUGAACGCGCUGAAAGGAUUCCCUCAGCGCCGAGGAGCCUUGGUGGCAUCGAGAAACUUUGGUGUCCUGACACCUAUCCAAACGAUGAUUAGCUCCCGUCUAAGGAAGUGAACAUCGGAAUACUUCUUUAUCUCCAUGUGUCUUCAGUUAAUUCUUAUCUAAUCUUGUUUACUUUGGUCCCUUGACCUUGCAAGUAUCAUAUAGGUUGUGCUCACCUUAGUUUUAUUAGGCAAACUUUAUAUUUCGCAAAGACUAUUCUAAAGGAAAGAGAGAUAUAUUUUGUAGACACCAAUUCACCCCCUAAUUGCAUCCUACACUAAAUUUUACAUCUAAAAUAAUGAUUUGGUCUGGUUCAACAUGCUAAUUCUUUGGAUUUUGAAGUUUUACAGAUUAGCAUGACAUGAUAACACUUUGGAUGUAGUUCAACAUGUCUUUUUUCCAUCUAUGGUUGAACCAAAGGCAACCUCCUUCUCGAAAAAAGGUUGAACCACCACUUGACAAGGUGUGGUUGAGUUGUAGGCAUAGUUUAAAAAUGGAACGAACUGUCCGUUUGAAUGGAAAAGACUAAAACCAGCGGGCCCAUCUGUUCAUUAUGUUUAACAGACCGUCCCACCAUUUGAUGGGUGAAACCAGCUGAACCUGGCAGUUUUCUGCAAAAUUGGUCAAUAAACUGGGCAGGUGAACACAAUAAAGCCCCAAAAUUAUAUUGGGAAAAGAGGGAUUGAAAACCCACAAUUGAGUCAUCCGCCGUACCCAAGCCAAUAACCGCUAUGUUAAGGUCAUUUUGAUGUCUAUUAUGAGGAAACAAUGCUAUUUAACCAAUUUCAGUACAAAAUUAGCAUAUACUAUGUACUAUUAAUUAUAUUUUUUAUGAUAAAAACCGUAAAAUGGACCGGUUAACCAGCAGCCUAAUCGGUGAAAACCUGAAUGGAGAGGACCACCGGUUCAAUAACCAUUUCAGGUUUUUUAAACUGUUGUUGUAGGUGACUUCCAUCUACUAGAUGUUGAAAUCCUAGUUUCAAAUAUUUUUCAUGUCGUAUAAAUUCUAAGUCUUUAAAUAAAGAUAUAAGUCCCAUGGUGGUUAAUUACUAAAAAUGAAAGGGAGUGAUAUUUUGUUGCAUCUAAAAAGAGAAGCAAGUAAUGUAUUGGUUUUGAAGUCAAUCCUUUAUCUUUAAAAGUGAACCUAAAUCGUGCUUACCUUGUCAACAUUAUCAUUUAGAGACAACCUCUGUCCUGUCAGUACCUCCGUGAUUAUUAUACCAAGACAAUAGAUAUCAAGCCGGUGUGUGAUUUCACCGUUCCAACAUUCUGGUGCAAAAUAACCCCUGCAUAAUAGACGCGCCCACGCUGAGUAACGGAAUAAAAAUGUGGAACUGUCAGGAGGCUUAGCAAACUUACGGUGUGCCGCAUAUGUUUACAGUAAAAGUUUGGCUCUGCAUUGGACGAAAGCACCUUGAUAGACCAAAAUCAGUAAUUUUUGGUACCAAAUUAUCAUCCAACAAUAUAUUCUCUGGCUUUAGAUCUGAGUGGACAAUAUUAUUUUGAUGAAGAUAAUGUAACCCCUGACAAAUUCCUAUUAUAAUUUGAUACCGGUCUGUCCAGUGAAGUCCGCAAGAUGUACCUACGAAGGAGGAGGAGAGGACAAAGCAAUCCGAAUAUUAUUUGACAUACUUAAAGUCUAUGGAUAGUACGUACGUGGUCAUUAUGUAAAUGAAGAUAGCAUAUACAUAGUGAUAUGUGGGAUACUAACCAAUAUGAAAUUUAACGAUGAACAUAAAGGAUAAAAGAAACUUUGCAACAUAUGAUCCUACCCGUGAUAUACUUACGAAGACUCCCGUUAGGAACAAACUCGAAACAAAGCAACCUUUGUCGUACAUCGGCCAAGACCAAUUUUCCUUCAUACUUUAACAUACUGCCUUGUGUGUCAGCACAAUAUCCCAGAAACCGUACGACAUUUUUGUGCUUCACCAUCAUGAGGCAUUCAACUUCUCGGACGUACUCCUUCUCAUACUCAUAUGUAUUUAACAUCCUUUUCACAGCCACGGGCCUAUUCUCAAGAAUUCCCUACAUUGAGAAGAUGCCUUGUCAGCAACAACUUCAGUUUCCAGAUAAAGUUUGAUUAAAUCCCAAAGCAGCUCAGAGUUACUGUACCUUAUAAACCACCGCAAAUCCACCGGAGCCAAUUUUCUGGUCAGGAGAGAAAUCAUUUGUAAUUUCUUUGAGAAGUGACAGUGGCAGCGGCUUGGGCUCUGCCAUCUCAUCACAUAGCAUGGACUCCAGGUCCCUUGGUGUGAUAAUAGAUCGGCAUUCCAUUUGCAAUUAUAUGUCACGGUACCCCUAAAACAAGAGCAAGCGCAUUAUUUCCCGCCCUUCUUCAUUUGCCGUAGGGAAAGUUGUUUGCUUGACAGCAUAUACGAGUUGUCAAAUCAUAGGCCUACUACUACUUCUGGUUGCAGUCUUGAUUAGCAAAAGAAACACACAAACCAUCUCCCUAAGGUGACCGAGCGUAGGCAACGAGGACGAAUAAGAUCUGAAGAAGUUUCUGGGUCAAGGAAUUUUUUGUGAUUACCUGGCGAGGUGGAGGCCCAGGCUUGAAAUGAUUUCUUCCAGACUAGGACAACGGAUGAUUUCUCAAGCUGUCAAGGAAGACUUCCAGAGAUCAUUUCCAUGUGAGAGAGCAUGGGAGAGUUAUAUUAAGAAACGACUACCUAGUGAACACUUCACUAAUAAGUGCGAUUUUUUUAAGAGCAGGCUCACCGCUACUGCUGGUGCUACUACCAAGGUACCCAUAAGUUUGCUACGGAAGACUUCGCUUUUCCUCGUUGGCUCUGUGCUGCAGCUUCCUAUGAUCGAUGUUGCUGCUGCUCUUCUUCUUCUCUCCUACCUCUACCCGGAGAUGCAAUGGUAGCGAGUGCUAGCUAUUGUAGUGGUUGGUGUAUAGAUCUCCAGGGCUUAUGGCGAUGGUGGUGAGGAGUCACCUCAUUAUAUUUGCUCUCAACAUGUACACCAUUUGCUACAUCCUGUGAACCUCGUCACUUCAACUCACCUUAAUGGAAAGAAUAAAAAUGAUGCGUCCUAAUUAAUUUCCUAGCACAAGUUGGAGGAUCGAACGUAACAUUCAUUCAGAACUCAGUUAAUUGAUUGAAGCUGACUUCUUACUCAGAGCUUACUGGACUGGCUCUAACUUUGGGACAAGGACUAACUGCCUUCUAGUUUAUAAUUGUGUGUCUAGGUCAGUAAUUUGCCAAACGAAAUUUUAGUCAUGCAUCAUAAAAAAGCAUACCACUGAAUUUUUAUAAAAAGAAGUUUAUUUAGAUCACAGUACACGCAAACCCUACCCCUAUGAGCAGCUCCGAUAGACUGCGCCGGCAUAUCAUCUUGAGAUUGACGAAGUGACCAGAGGCGCCUCGUAGUUGAUGGGAACGUCUAUUUCCACUUAAAUAAAUCCAGGAAUAAUGCGAGCACCAGGAUUUGAACCCUGGUGGGCUGGGGAUACCACUGUCCUCCUAACCAUCCGACUAUAAGUUGGUUCGCUAAAAGAAGUUUUUUAUUGCAUAUUUUUCUGAGACAUUUCUUUUUUCUUUUCACGACGGGAGGUCAAGACCCCCCGACCUCUACAUCACCGUGAUGCACACAAUUGUUUUCACUAGAGUUGUUUUCUCGAAACGGAGGUUUGGACCCUCAGCUUGUGCAUAAUUUUGAACACAACUAUUUUCACUAUAGUUAUUUUCUUGAAAGGAAGGUCGUCACCAUUGGCCUCUGCAUCAUUGUGAUACACACAAAUAUUUUUACUAUAGUUGUUUUUUCGAAAGCAAGGUCAAGACCAUUGACUCUGCAUCGUUGUGGUACACACAACCAUUUUCACUACACAGUUGAUGCAAGACAAGGAGGCCAAUGUCAUAUCAUUCUUUUUUUGUUAUUUUUUAAAGGGUCCAGUAUGACAAUGCUAUGUAUGAGCUCAGCAUUCGGUUUUUUAGAAGGAAAGGAUUAGAAACACAACAUCAUAUAGUCUACACGUCUUUCCUUCUAGGUUCAUAGUGCACAUUUGUCCUAGGUUCAGAAAAAGAAAGAAGCAUUCAAUCCAAAUGAAAGCAUAGUAUAUUGCAUCCAUGAAAAUAUUUGCAAAAUAUAACAAAACUCAUUGUUUAAGGCGGCAGCAGGUAUAAUAAUAUUGUGUAGGUUGACUAUAAGAGUUUUUUUUUUGAGAAAGAUGUGCUAUAAAAAAUGCCACAUCAGAUUUAUGAUAAGUUCAGGAGAUAGAUGACUGAUGAUAAGUGUUUUCCCGAUAUAAAACAAAAGUAGGCUACAGAUUUAUAGUCAGCUGCAAUAUGGGCAACAAGCUUUAUAUAUUACUCCUUAUUCUUUCAUCCUCACUAUGGGGAGUUCGACAUAGUAUAAAAAGAUUGUGUAAGUGGAGUAAUAAAGUUAGCCUCUCUAAAGUUAGCCAGGUAUUAGUGACAUACUAGAUACGGAUGUAUCUAAUACUAAAAUGUAACUAGAUACGUCCGUAUCUAGAUAAAUUUAAGACAAGAAUUUUGAGACAGAAGGAGUAGUAUAUUGUGCAUAACUAAACUACUAUUCAGUUAAUUGAGUGCAGAUGAUAUGACAAUGACAUUUAACCACUAGCUAACUCCAUUAUUGGUUAUGCCCGCUGUGUUAACCAUCCUCACUAUGGGGAGUUGGAAUGAAACCACCCGUGGGGCCCAAAGAUUAAUGGAGUCGAGUACAUGACGUUCAGGGCGUCGCUGGGGAGGCUGGCCGGUGAGAUAUUAGGCUGGUCAUAGUGGGGAGUAACUUAGACUAGUGUCAUGCAUAUGACACUAGUCUAAGUUACUACCUUCAUAAUGCAAAGUAACAUAAUAGUAGUAUCAUAGAUGGCUUCAUUUACUAGCUCAUAGACUCAUCUUGUCAUGAAAAGCGCUAUGUUACAGUAACAUAUUAUGUUACUACCUCUCAUUAAUUACUUGCCACAUAAGCAGAAUUCUCUCGAAGAGCGCUAUGUUACUAGCUAAGUUACUCCCACUAUGACCAGCCUUAGAGUCAACAGCAAUUAAACAUGGGUGGGGCUCAAAGAUUAAUGGUGUACUAUGAAAAACUGAGCGUGUGAACUACGCAAAGUAUUCAAAAUGUUUUCGCACAGCUGUACGCGCAGACCACCUAAAAUUAACCAUCGCUUGUGACAUGUUUAUCGAGUAGCCAUUGAAUGACCCCCUUGUCAUCGUGGUGGUAUUAUCAUGGCUGGUCGUGAUUGAUCUGACAUCAAGCCAUUUUGGUCAUUUUCCUGGCCUAAUUUCUAAGAUGUGUUAAAAUACACUCACAUCUGUGACCCAUGGUUAUGGGUACAGGAAAAUUAUCAGAGGUACCGAAAUUAAUAAUUAACUAUAUAGGGAAUUGAAAACCCAAAACUACUAUACUUUGUGACUGCGAAUAAUCAACAUUAAUCAUGGCUAAAGAUUUUUUUUUUCUUUUCUUCUGGUUGCAUCCCUGAGCAACCUGCAUGAGAUUGACCUGAAGAUGCUUCAAAGUAAAUUACAUCAGUGUCUGGCACAUGGUUUGCCUUCGCCAGUUGUUUGUGGCUGGAUGCAUCUCACUAUUUCCAUACAGUAUCUUGUAUUAAUGAUACAUCUGUUGCCACAGCGCCCAAGAUAAUACAUAUAUCCACAUCAAAUUCGUGGCCAACAAAAUGAGAAUAAAAAAAUAAAAAGUUUCACCAUAUAAACAGAAGGAUCCGGUUGGACAUAAAAACUUGGUACAUAUAGAAAACUAUUAUAUGGAUGGGCAACUAGAUUGACUACUGAUGAUAUAUUGAGAUAGCGCCAAAACAGACUCUAUUAUUGGCUGUGGUCGCUGUGUUAGCCCUGCUCAUCGUGGUGGGUUCAUGACUUGGAAUAGGGAAGUUUGGACAUGAAGGGGCCUGUGGGGUUCUAUAGCUAAUGGAGUUCAUUGCAUGGCUGUACGAACACGUCCGAGGAGGCUGUCAACCUGUCUGGCAAGAUAAUAGAGUGCCCAUCAAUCAAACAUGGGUGGGGUUCAAAUCAAAAAUUAAUGGAUGGACUACCUGUGCGGUUGGCCAGGUUGAUGUGAGUAAUGUGAACUGACAGGGCGGCCGGAGGACCAAACCAUGAACCAUGAACGCACAAGUCUUUCAUUAACUUUACACAACUGCAUGUGCAGACCACCAAACAGGGCGCCUCAGCUGUAUGUCAUAUAUCUUAAACUAGCUAGCUUACCUCGCCAGUGUGCACAUUCGUGCUUUUUUUUCUCUUUGAACAGUGAAGGGCACCGAAGGACGCAGAACUUCAUUAUUCAAAGCGGUGCGCAACACGUCUUACAAACAGGACUCCAAAGAAACUGAAAAUUAUAGGCAAGUCCCUGAUAGUUAUGAAAAGGACCCUGAAACUGAAAAGAAAAGGUGAUCGGGUCCAAACUGCUCUCCAGUGGAUCCAAUCAUCGCCAGUUUGGACAUGAAGGGGGCUGUGGGGUUCAAUAACUAAUCGAGUUCAUGCAUGGCUGUAGGAACACGUCCGAGGAGGCUGUCAACCUGUCUGGCAAGAUAAUAGAGUGCCCAUCAAUCAAACAUGGGUGGGGUUCAAAUCAAAAAUUAAUGGAUGGACUACCUGUGCGGUUGGCCAGGUUGAUGUGAGUAAUGUGAACUGACAUGGCGGCCGGAGGACCAAACCAUGAACCAUGAACGCACAAGUCUUUCAUUAACUUUACAGAAUUGCAUGUGCGGACCACCAAGCAUUUCGCCUCAGCUGUAUGUCAUAAAUCCAACUACUCCCACAUGUAGUAUCGAGUAGCCUCCUUGUGACCCCAUUGUCGCCAUUUAUUCUACUAUUAUAGCAGGUCGUGAUUGAUCUCAACUCUAGACCAACUCGUGAACGCUCGAGUCUUUCGUUAACUUUACACAACUGCAUGAGUAAUGACCCAUUGAUUCUGAUUAAGCUGAUAUGCUAUUGGAUCAUGGGCUGGUCGAUUUUGCACAUAAAGGAGGAGCUAAGAGAGACGCUGAUGCUAUAGGGACAAAACUGCUAAAACAUGUAGCAAGUGAGAUCUACGGAGNNNNNNNNNNNNNNNNNNNNNNNNNNNNNNNNNNNNNNNNNNNNNNNNNNNNNNNNNNNNNNNNNNNNNNNNNNNNNNNNNNNNNNNNNNNNNNNNNNNNNNNNNNNNNNNNNNNNNNNNNNNNNNNNNNNNNNNNNNNNNNNNNNNNNNNNNNNNNNNNNNNNNNNNNNNNNNNNNNNNNNNNNNNNNNNNNNNNNNNNNNNNNNNNNNNNNNNNNNNNNNNNNNNNNNNNNNNNNNNNNNNNNNNNNNNNNNNNNNNNNNNNNNNNNNNNNNNNNNNNNNNNNNNNNNNNNNNNNNNNNNNNNNNNNNNNNNNNNNNNNNNNGACAAGAUAAUAGUAACUGAAUGUUAAACAUAUAUGUGGGGCUCCCCCCCCCCCGGUACAUAAUGUGUAGGUGAACUAACAGGUGGUGUGAACUUUUUUUUCGAGAAAGGGUGGAUUUUAUAGGCUCAAAUGGAGCAUCAAGAUGAUACAUCACACUCAACACACACACGGCCUCUGCAUAACUAAGAUGCACACAGCCAACCCAACGCGCACACACACAGAAACACACUGUCAACUAGCGAUGUCAUAAAACCAAAAGCUAUGUGCAGGUGUGGAAAAGGGAAAAAAGAAACAAGAAAUAAGCCCCAAAGCGAUUAGAUGAACGAUCGAAAAAUACAACUAAGACCAUAUCCGCACAAACCAUUGACAAGGAUCUUCAACAACAACGUCUUCACGAAGGAAGCGACACUCAAGCGACGCCGUCACCGGAUCCAACCACAAAGGUCAGUUUCAUAGUUUUUACCCCGAAGAAUCAUUCCGAACAUAUCCGAGCAAUGCCUCCAACAAGGUAACGACAUAAAAAAAACAUCGCCAUUGCCAGGAAUAACCACUCGGGUCUCUCCUAGGCUUUCGCCCCGGAGCUCGAGACCAGGCGCACAUAGCACCACCAUCCAAAUCUCACAUGUGUUGUCUCCACCGCUUUUCCACUAUCCGAGCAGCUACAAUUGGAUCGCCACUACUCCACAAACAACCUUCUGCAUCAAGUCAUUGUCCAUAAUUUGGAACCCACCACUGAAGUCAACCACCGGAUCAGGAGAUAAAACCUUCCGAAGUCUUUUUGGUGAUGUCGUGGAUCCGUAUGAAGUCGAUGCAGAACAAUCUACAUAUGCCACCAUCCGGCCAAUCGGAUCUAAAUCACCUCAUUCAUCCAGCACAUCACCGCAGCCCCAACAAUCCACGGACUACGUGGCCGGAGCAAUGCCAAGACCACCGUUGCCUCAACGACCACCACGUCGGAGCCACCACCACAAAUCGAGGGAGGUGGGCGCUACCAUAGACGAGGGCCGCCAUGCAUGAGGCAUAUUUGUGACUGGCCGUAGCUAGGUCGGAUCUUGGAAGACGUCAGGUGCAGCUUAUGGGGAAACAGAUCACCGCCACCAUGGCCACUGCCAGUCCGCGACUGCAUCUGACACCAGCCACCGCAGACCACGACUCCAUCUUAGGGAGGAGGUCAGGGGCGCGUGCAGCAGGCUAGGGGAUCAAUUUGCCCCGUCGCCACCAUCCGCCAUCGCAGGACCUUGCCGCCACCGCAGGUCUGCCCCAGCGCCGCCCACAUCGCCACCUUGGUAGCACCACCACCAGCACUAGGGCCCCCGCCCUUGCUCCCAAGAUCCGCUGCCUACAUGCUUCAUUUGGGGCCGCCGUGCCUUGCCGGCUGGAGCGCACCCCGCGCGAGGGAUCUCAGCGCGAGAAGACAUCCCCGCCACCUCCGUCGGCCAACCGGGCUUUGCCUGCUGGUGUCCUCCGGCGGCGGCGGGGGAGCUGAUGGAGAGGACGGGGUCGGCGGCGGCGGCGGCUUGGGUUUCCGCCCUCCCCCUCCCCCCUCCCCGUGAGCGAUGCGAGCGGUUCAACACCUAUAAGGUGGUGUGAACUACACGCAACUCUUCAUUAAUUUCACACAACAGUAUGUGCAGACACCUAACAUUUCGUCACAGCUGCAUGUCAUAAGACUACCCAUAGUGGGAAUAACAUAGGUGGUAACAUCAGACAUCUCUAGGCAAAAUAGAUGAUGUGGUGAGUAAUUAAUGAGCAAAGAGAGGCAUGUGGUAACAAAGCUAGUUACUAUAACAUCACACAUACCAAGAUAAGAUGAGUCUAUAACCUAAUAAAUGAAAUGUUGCAUGACAGCUCACAUAUGUUACUCCCCACUAUAGUGGUAGUAACAUAGACUAGUAACAUGCACCCAUUGUGACUAGUCUAACCCCCCCGCUUGUUAAAUGUUUAUCGUCCCAGCUUGUCAUUGUUGUGGUACUAUUAUGGCGACGGUGGUGCUCUCGUGGUGGUGAUGGUGUUCCUUCUGGUGCAGGUUCUGCAGCGCGCCGUAGCUAGUGCCACUCAUCUGGUCCAUGACAAACGCGCCAUGCGACCGCACCAUGUUGCCCGAGUUGGCCAUGGAGGUGGGCCAGUGCGCGGACAUGGGCUCCCUCUUGGUCGGGUCUGGUGCGGUGGUGGUGAAGAUGGAUCUAGGGGAGGCGUUUCUAGCAGGAGGAAGGGUGGAGGAAUGCGUUGGAGAGGAGCUGCUCAUGGCUGAUGCUGCCUGGAUUGAAGGAGGACAUGCACCGAUUCGGCCUCGUGAAGAUAGAAGCACGACGGCGACGGCCAAGAGAAAAUCCAUCUUGGAGGUCAUCGGCGGCCUUCUCUGGGGAGGAGCUCACUGCCGCCAGCAAACUUCACGCGGCCAUCCUUGCCAUCGUCCAUGUCAUAGCGGAGGACCACGGCGAGGCACACAUCGGCCCAUGUUCGGCAACGCCAUUGGCCACCCACGUCCAGAUCAGUAUCGGGGAGGAUCAACUCCUACACCGGGAAGUAGGACUGUGCACCGUGAAGACCACCACCAUCAACUAGGCUCCGGUUCUCGCUCGUCAUCGUCCUCUUCUGCGGAGAGGAGGAGGAACGAGAAAAAAGUGGGGGCAGGUGGGAGGAGAGAAGGGAUUUGUUUGGCUGCCGGCUACCUCUUGAGCAUGCGUUGGUUUUCCCUUGAAGAGGAAAGGGUGAUGCAGCAAAGUAGCGUAAGUAUUUCCCUCAGUUUUGAGAACCAAUGUAUCAAUCCAGUAGGAGGCUACACGCAAAUGCCUCGUACCUACACAAACAAAUAAGAACCUUGCAACCAGCGCGAUAAAGGGGUUGUCAAUCCCUUCACGGCCACUUGCAAAAAUGAGAUAUGAUAGAGACAAUAAACAUUUUUGGUAUUUUUAUGAUAUAGAUUGGAAAGUAAAGAUUGCAAAAUAAAAUAGAUCGGAAACUUAUAUGAUCGAAAAUAGACCUAGGGGCCAUAGGUUUCACUAGUGGCUUCUCUCAAGAUAGCAUAAGUAUUAUGGUGGGUGAACAAAUUACUGUCGAGCAAUUGAUAGAAAAGUGCAUAGUUAUGAGAAUGUCUAGGCAUGAUCAUGUAUAUAGGCAUCACGUCCGCGACAAGUAGAUCGAAACGAUUCUGCAUCUACCAGUAUUACUCCACACAUCGACUGCUAUCCAGCAUGCAUCUAGAGUAUUAAGUUCAUAAGAACAGAGGAACACAUUAGGCAAGAUGACAUGAUGUAGAGGGAUAAACUCAAGCAAUAUGAUAUAAACCCCAUAUUUUUAUCAUCGAUGGCAACAAUACAAUACGUGCCUUGUUGCCCCUGCUGUCACUGGGAAAUGACACCGCAAGAUUGAACCCAAAGCUAAGCACUUAUCUCAUUGCAAGAAAGAUCAAUCUAGUAGGCCAAACCAAACUGAUAAUUCAAAGAGACUUGCAAAGAUAAGAAAUCAUACAUAAAAGAAUUCAGAGGAGAUUCAAAUAUUGUUCAUUGAUAAUCUUGAUCAUAAACCCACAAUUAUUCGGAUCUCUACAAACACACCACAAAAAGAAUCACAUCGAAUAGAUCUCCAAGAAGAUCGAGGAGAACUUUGUAUUGAGAUGAAAAGAGAGAGAAGAAGCCAUCUAGCUAAUAACUAAACCCGAAGGUCUGUGGUAAACUACCCACACUUCAUCGGAGAGGAUAUGGUGUUGAUGUAGAAGCCCUCCAUGAUCGAUUCCCCCUCCGGUGGAGCGCCGGAUAAGGCCCCAAGAUGGGAUCUCAUGGGUGCAGAAGGUUGCGGCGGUGGAAAUAGGGUUUCGUGGUGCUCCUGGAUGUUUUCAGGGUAUAUGAGUAUAUAUAGGCGAAGGAAGUCGGUCAGGCAAGCCACGAGGGGCCCACGAGGGUGGGGUGCAUGCCCACCCCCUUGGGCGUGCCUCCCUGCCUUGUGGCCGCCUCGUUUCUUUCUUAACGCCCACUCCAAGUCUCCUGGAUUGUGUUUAUUCCAAAAAUAACUCUUCCGAAGGUUUCAUUCCGUUUAAACUCCGUUUCAUAUUCCUUUUCUGUGAAACACUGAAAUAGGCAAAAAACGGCAAUUUGGACUGGGCCUCCGGUUAGUAGGUUAGUCCCAAAAAAAUAAUAUAAAAGUUCUUAGUAAAUCCCAUUAAACAUCCAAAACAGGUAAUAUAAUAUCAUGAAACAAUAAAAAAUUAUAGAUACGUUGGAGACGUAUCAAGCAUCCCCAAGCUUAAUUCCUGCUCAUCCUCGAAUAGAUAAAUGAUAAAAACAGAUUUUUUGAUGUGGAAUGCUACCUUGCAUAUUUUCAAUGUAAUUUUCUUUAUUGUGGCAUGAAUGUUCAGAUCCAAAAGAUUCAAGAUAAAAGUUUAAUAUUGACAUAAAAAUAGUAAUACUUCAAGCAUAAUAACAAAGUAAUCAUGUCUUAUCAAAAUAACAUAGCCAAAGAAAGCUUAUCCCUACAAAAUCAUAAAGUUUGGUCAUGCUUCAUUUUCGUCACAUAAAAUACUCCCAUCAUGCACAACCCCGGUUUCAGCCAAGCAAUUGGUUCAUACUUUUUAACGCGGUUCAACUUUUUCAACCCUCACGCAAUACAUGAGCGUAAGCCAUGGAUAUAGCACUAUGGGUGAAGUAGAGUAUGAUGAUAGGGAUUGUGUGAGAAUACAAAAAAGGAUAAAGUUUCACAUUGACGCGGCUAAUCAACGAGCUAUGGAGAUGCCCAUCAAUUGAUGUCAAUGCGAGGAGUAGGGAUUGCCAUGCAACGGAUGCACUAGACCUAUAAAUGUAUGAAAGCUCAACAAAAGAAACUAAGUGAGUGUGCAUCCAACUUGCUUGCUCACGAAGACCUAGGGCAUUUUUAGGAAGCUCAUCAUUGGAAUAUACAAGCCAAGUUCUAUAAUGAAAAACUGCCACUAGUAUAUGAAAGUGAAAACAUAGGAGACUCUCUAUCAUGAAGAUCAUGGUGCUACUUUGAAGCACAAGUUUGGAAAAAGGAUAGUAACAUUGUCCCUUCUCUCUUUUUCUCACAUUUUUUUCUCUUUUUUUCCUUUUUUUAUUUUGAUGGGCUUCUUUGGCCUCUUUUUUUUAUUUGGGCUUCUUUGGCCUUUUUUAUUUGGGAGAUACUGGACGCAGCAAGAGGACUCUUGACAAGUUACGAGGAUGUUGUAGCCACAGGCCAGGGUGCAUGUCUGUAGACGAACGAAACACGUCGUUAUUGUUGUCGUCAUUAGUUUAGACACUAGACUGGAUCCAAACUGACUCUUCAUGCGACAUGGAGCAAUGUAUCACAUCGAUCACAGGUAGGUGUUGAUAGACAGGUCGACCAACCAACCACGGCAAAAUUGUUGGAACUUCUUGCACAAGAUUACUAUUUAGGGGAACUUAAGGAAUAAGUUUUCAUAAUAAUUUUGACAGGGUCACUAGUUUAUCAGCUCGUGCACCCUCACAUGGUGUCUUCUUUGAAGGUGUCGAACCCUUAGUAGGAGAGAAUCUUGAGCGAAAACGAGCCAAAGAUGGACACUCUAUUUUCAACAUCGAGUCAACCUCGUGACUUCGACUCACUUUUUUUUCGAGAAGGAGGAUGACCCUGCCCUCUGCAUCUGGGAGAUGCAUACGGUCAUUUUAUUGAUUAUUCUCGAGAACCUUACAAAGUAUAACAACAAUAUGCCUGAAUCCGCCAUCUUGGCAGUAUCUGCCACUACUCCUAUCCAAAUGAUGAAGGGGUGCAACCUGGGCCACAUACCCAUACCUCUCACCUAAGCCUAACAUCUAAAGCCGGAGGCCCCGACCGAGCCAUCUGCCGGGUACGGGGCUCAAACAGGUCUGACGCACUCACAUGUUUCGCCGCCGCCAUCUUCCACUAGUCCAUCUUCAAAGCAGAUUGAGGUGACAACCUUGGCAGGUCAUCCGCCAUCAAUGCCACCACGACGCCAAACGACGACCUCCACCUACACGAGCCUUGGCAGGUCCUCCGCCAUUGACGCCACCACGACGCCAGCCGACAACCUUCACCUACGCGAGUCCAUCUCCAAGCAACGGACGUGAAUCCAUGAUAGGAAAGGGUUGCACCACCGCCGUCUCCCACCACCCACAAGCGCCACCCAACCCCAAGGUUCCCAAAGCGGCGCCUUCAAGAAGGGAACGACGUCGUGAGCACCGCCGUCGCCCAACAGAGUUAGGGCUUUCGCCCGGGAGACCUAGGGGGAGGUUUAGUGAGGAGAUCAGUCCAUACCGACGCCUCCAGGAAGGGAAACAACGCCCUCAGGCGUCGCAGUUGGCGCAGCCGGUGAUGGCCGGCCCGGGAUUUCGCCCGAACUAGAUCUCCACCACCAGCAGCACCACAUGUACAGAACCGGCGACCGAGAGGAAGCACGGCCCGACCAGACUGGCCCGCACGCUGAACAUGGGAGGAAGGGAGGCGCCAGAUCGCGCACACCGACCGCCGCAGAAGCCGCCGCCGGCCGCCAACGACCAUCAGAUCCCGUCGCCCGCGUGGUCAGGACACCAGAUCCACCACCCGCACGGCUGUUAGCCGGCCGUGCCUUGCCAAUGGAGCCGCCGCUCCAGAUCCGGGGUUCCCCGCACAGAAGCAGGGCAACCGAGGCCUCGCCGCCACCAUCUUUGGCGUCCCGGGCUUGCCCGGCGGCUGCCUCAGGAGGCGGCGAGGGAGGGGGUUCGGAGGAGGGGCAGCUAGGGUUCGGAGGAGGAGGCAGCUAGGGUUGGGAGGAGGAGGCGGCUAGCUCCUGGAAUUUUCACAUGUAUAGAUUCACGCCUGACUUCGACUCACUUGAAAGGCAAGAAGAUGGAAAAGGACUAUGCAUCUUAAUUUCCAAGAAACAACUAUAUUAACUUAGCCAGUAGGCAAGAUGCAGUAUAACUUAGCUUUCUUUCAGAAAUUUUGACAUCCAAUUCAUUGAGUGAAACUGAAACCUUACCUCCACACCUCACGGAACCACCUAGCUAGUAGUAGGACAUUUCUGGCCGCUAGAAAAAUAGGCCUUGUCACAAGUUCAUCAGCAGAUGUUCGAGUAGUACAGUACGUUGCUCUUUGUGAGGGCACGCUAACAUCAAUGCUGUUUCCAUACAGCCGUCAUUGGCCGUUGUCGUGAUCCUUCUGCUCAGUCGUAUCUAAAACACAUCUAAACUUGGCCUAAUUCCAGUAGGAAAUUCAGGUGGGGAAAUCGAGGAGAAAGUACUAUUUCUAACCAUUUUGUGAGGAUUAUCGAUGGAUUUCUUGACAUUGCCGAGAAAUGACAAACAAAUAGAAAACGGUCGAUGAAGAUACAUUUCCACCAAGAUUAGGCCAGUUCCCCACCCAGGCUUCAGUUCUGAAUCUCCAUCGGCGGCGGGCAGAAGCUUCAGUUUCAGCUGGCAGUGCAAAUGAUCUUUCCAUCAUGCUGAAUUCAAAAUGGGAAGUACGUACGACCACCAAUGGAAAGUUGUAGCGAACAAAGAGCCAGCAAACAAAAAUAAAAGCUUGGCUUUUGCUGACAAAUAAGCAAGAGAGGCCUGAAUUAUCCAACUCCUUGGCAUGCAUUACACAGUGCACUGAUUAAAUAGCAUUCACCAAUCAAAUUAAACGGUACUGCCCACAUUAUUACAGAUCAGAAAUAGUACUGAAUAGUAUACAGAAUUCUCUCACACUCACUCACAAAUAGUCAUAUGAAACACUAGUCGGCCAUACACGUCUGGUGCACAUUGAAAAUCACAGUGCACAAUAAAACAAGCACAUGGAAAGUAAGAACAAAUCCUGAUGGCUCCACAUUCCUAGCCAACCUUCUCUUCUUUCUUCUCUUUUUUUGCGGGAAAAUCUAACUAGAAUUUUCUUCUGAGGCUAGCAAAUGGAUGAAAAAACAUAACAAAAGUUAGUAGCAGAUCAUCAUGACACAGCCCAUUUUUCAUGAUACAAAAAAAAGAAUGUAGAAAACAGGAUUACAGUCUUACAUGCUGGGUCUUCAAAUCUUUGGUCGGGGAUGUGCUUGAUCUUCUGCCAAUUUGGAUGUCUGACUGUUUGACACGACUUCGUGAACUCACCACUGCAGUAUGCAACACAAAACUUCUCAAGAGAACGGGGCAGUGUUGGAAGCGACCGGAUAUUCAAGCACCCUUCGAUUUGUAGUUCCUUGAGCGAUGUAAGGUGCUCCAUAUUGCCUGGUAAGGCAUCCCAGUUGCACCGACCAAGCCAGAGCACACGAAGAUGAAUGAAAGUCACAAGUUCAGGACCAGGUCCCGGUUGGCUCCAUCCACCCAAGACAAGUUUUUUCAGGUUCUUUGGGCCACCUUUCUGCUUAUCCACCAUCCAAUCUGGGUACCUCAAGCUUUCAUAUUCUGCAAUAAUCAGUUCUUCGAUACCAACAGGAGGGCACAGGCCCUCAAGCACCUCUGCUUCAACUUCUGAGCUGCACCUUGUACCAUCAUCACCCCAUUCCAACUUCAGUUCCUUCAACCGAUCCUUGGCACCAAGAUUGGCUUCAACAGCUUCCUCCUUGCUUUUAACAUUUUCAAGGCCAUUGAUUGUCAGGCUGCCGCGAAGCUUGUUUAGGUCCCUAAGCUGCUUUAUCUCAUAACCCUGCUCAUUCCUUACUGUGAACCUGCUGCUUGGUAACGCUUGGAGUGAGAUAAGCCUGCCUAUGCUCGGACAUUCCAAGUUCUCACAAAUUAUGUACCGCAGGUUGAUAAGGUUAUCAAGUGUAAAUUCCCAAAUUUGGCCAUGGCCAUGACGACCAAAGUCCAGCAGCUGGAUAUGGUGAAGUUUCUUAGUUAGUGUGCUUGGUAAAAUUACGGUGCAUUCGAAUGUCCUGAAAGAAAGAUAGCAUAGGUCCUUUAACUGGCCAAUGGAUUCUGGGAUCGAGAACUUCUUGGGUUUGGUGAUUUCAAGAUGUUCCCGGCUAAAAGCAACCGCCAGUACCUGCAAUUUUUGCAGCCGCUUGCAUAUAUUGUCAAUGACGUUUUCCUCAACUGUAGUACCCUUUUCAACAACAUAAAUUAUGAGUGUUUGUAAAUUUUCCAAUCCAAGGAUCUUUUCAGUAAUCAAUUCUCCAUCAUAAUUCUCUACAAGAAGAUGGCAGACGUCUUGGGGAACAUCUCCUUUCCAUCCUUCUCCUCUCUGACUCCUUGCAUUCUCGAUUCUGAAGCAUUCCGUUCCACUAAUCUUGUCUAAUAAAUCAUGCAACAAGUCAGGAAUUGUAAACCAAUCAGGCCAUUCUCCUCCUUGCUGAAGAAAUGAGCAUGACACUAACUCCUGAAAAUAACUCUCAGCUAUAUCUUCCAUGUCCUCCGUUGCACAACUGGUCUUUAUAAACCCUUGUGCUACCCACAAGCGAACUAACACAUCCCUUCUUAACUUGGAUCUCUUGGGGAAAAUACUGCAAUAUUUGAAGCUUCGCUGGAGAUCUGGAUUAAGUUGUUGAUACCUCAACCAAAGAGCACCCAUGGUCUCAUUCAAUAUUUCCG